GUCAGGUUAGGCAGUCAAACCUGGGCCUUGGGAGAAGCUUGAAGGAGGCUGAACUGUAGAAGAAUGGAAGGGCAUGCCAGGCCAGAAACACUAACUGUUCUGGAGCAAAGACUGGUGGAGAGUCUAACUAUGUAGAGUAUCGUUCUGUGUUUUCGAGGUUUUGGAGGGAGAGAGAAAGAUUUCGGGCAAGUGACACACUCCACUUGAUCUUAGCCAAAAGGCCGAGAAGCAAUGCAAAUGACACACUCAGCGUUGGCACAAGUCUGCCUUGGAAGUUCAGGGUUGUGGUGCUUGACCUAAGGAUUCAAUGGAGCGCCUUGCUUUUUCAGGGCAUGGCUCCCACCCCUCUGGGCCUGAGACGAAAUGCUGUUAUGGAAUGGCAGGCUCUCACUUCUGGCUCAUAAAGGAAGGAGCCAGACUAUUUACUUUCCUGACUGAGUCCAGUGGAAUCAUUCCUCAAAGGGAGAAUGAGCCGAUUCUGAAACGAGACGUGCUGGAGACUUAAAACAGACCGAGGCCAUCAGACUCAGUACCAAGAGCUUAUCUUCCUUAUGGACAGUUUCACAUUAACCACAUUGUGCAUGGUAUUUCUAAAAUACAUUUGGUUAUUGCAC
rnacentral:lncRNA from 1 species